GAUGAACGCUGGCGGUGUGCCUAAUACAUGCAAGUCGAGCGGUAAGGUCUCUUCGGAGAUACACGAGCGGCGGACGGGUGAGUAACGCGUAAGAAUGUACCCCAAAGUGAGGGAUAAGCACCAGAAAUGGUGUCUAAUACCGCAUGUGCUCUUCGGAGUAAAGCUUCGGCGCUUUGGGAACAGCUUGCGUAUGAUUAGCUAGUUGGUAAGGUAAUGGCUUACCAAGGCGACGAUCAUUAGCGGGUCUGAGAGGAUGAUCCGCCACACUGGGACUGAGACACGGCCCAGACUCCUACGGGAGGCAGCAGUAGGGAAUUUUCCACAAUGGGGGCAACCCUGAUGGAGCAACACCGCGUGCAGGAUGAAGGCCUUCGGGUUGUAAACUGCUUUUGUCUGUGACGAAUAUGACGGUAGCAGACGAAUAAGGAUCGGCUAACUACGUGCCAGCAGCCGCCGCAGUAA
rnacentral:rRNA from 1 species